ACUCUGAUAAACCUAAAGGCGCAAUGAAAGUGAAGGUCCGCCUUGCGCGGACCGAGGGAGGAUGGGUCCGNNNNNNNNNNNNNNCGGGCCCCGCACUCCCGGGGCGUCUCGUUCUCAUCGCGAGAUGAGGCGCACCCAGAGCGUACACGCUGGGACCCGAAAGAUGGUGAACUAUGCCUGGUCAGGACGAAGUCAGGGGAAACCCUGAUGGAGGUCCGUAGCGAUUCUGACGUGCAAAUCGAUCGUCGGAACUGGGUAUAGGGGCGAAAGACUAAUCGAACCAUCUAGUAGCUGGUUCCUUCCGA
rnacentral:rRNA from 1 species